ensembl:lncRNA
UGAUACGCACCUCCCCCUUCCGGGUUUACCUGGCUGCAGGUUCGGCAGACGCUCGGCACUCUCUGCAGGGUUGUGCAAAUUGUUCCACCGUGCAGGCGCUGGCAGGUCGGACUGCGUGUUUGCUCGUUUUGUCCCGGAGCUAUGCCACGCUGAGGUCCCGACUGCCCUGACCCGUUUUGGACUGCUGCUGCUUUGUGUGGGGAUAAAACCCACACUUUUUACGGACCUUGCCUGCUGCUGCGUUCGGGUGCUGAGGGCCUCACUGGUGAUCCUGUUUGGUGAUGGUGUCCCUUCGUGUGUAGUGUCUUAUUCACUCCCCUCCUUUGUUUUGCUUUGCCCUUGUGUGUUUGGAGUGUUAAUUUUGGAUUGUGGUGCUCCCAUUUUAAGUUUAUACUUUCACCCCUCACUCACCUUGAGCACAAAUGCCCCAGCCCUGGAAUACAUGAUAAUUUAUACAAAUAGGAUAACUUUUUUUAGAUUUGAAUUGUGCCCAAUAAACUGUUGUAUAUGCUUUUGGAAACACGUCUCUCGCCUGCUCAGUGUAACGAACUUGUGGUGUCCUUUUGUUUAGAUUUAGUAAUUUACCUUAUUCAUAGAUUUCUUUCUUUUCCCUGGGUGAUUUCUCCCAGGGUGGCGUUGCUGGUUUCCUUUAGUUUCUUUCUUUUUCCCCUAGUUAAAAACAUAGAUUAUUGGGGUAGUUCCUACCCCACCUCACGCUUGCCACACUU